rnacentral:rRNA from 1 species
AAGCGGGUGAAAAGCCCGCUCGCCGGAAGACCAAGGGUUCCUGUCCAACGUUAAUCGGGGCAGGGUGAGUCGACCCCUAAGGCGAGGCCGAAAGGCGUAGUCGAUGGGAAACAGGUUAAUAUUCCUGUACUUGGUGUUACUGCGAAGGGGGGACGGAGAAGGCUAUGUUGGCCGGGCGACGGUUGUCCCGGUUUAAGCGUGUAGGCUGGUUUUCCAGGCAAAUCCGGAAAAUCAAGGCUGAGGCGUGAUGACGAGGCACUACGGUGCUGAAGCAACAAAUGCCCUGCUUCCAGGAAAAGCCUCUAAGCAUCAGGUAACAUCAAAUCGUACCCCAAACCGACACAGGUGGUCAGGUAGAGAAUACCAAGGCGCUUGAGAGAACUCGGGUGAAGGAACUAGGCAAAAUGGUGCCGUAACUUCGGGAGAAGGCACGCUGAUAUGUAGGUGAAGCGACUUGCUCGUGGAGCUGAAAUCAGUCGAAGAUACCAGCUGGCUGCAACUGUUUAUUAAAAACACAGCACUGUGCAAACACGAAAGUGGACGUAUACGGUGUGACGCCUGCCCGGUGCCGGAAGGUUAAUUGAUGGGGUCAGCGCAAGCGAAGCUCUUGAUCGAAGCCCCGGUAAACGGCGGCCGUAACUAUAACGGUCCUAAGGUAGCGAAAUUCCUUGUCGGGUAAGUUCCGACCUGCACGAAUGGCGUAAUGAUGGCCAGGCUGUCUCCACCCGAGACUCAGUGAAAUUGAACUCGCUGUGAAGAUGCAGUGUACCCGCGGCAAGACGGAAAGACCCCGUGAACCUUUACUAUAGCUUGACACUGAACAUUGAGCCUUGAUGUGUAGGAUAGGUGGGAGGCUUUGAAGUGUGGACGCCAGUCUGCAUGGAGCCGACCUUGAAAUACCACCCUUUAAUGUUUGAUGUUCUAACGUUGACCCGUGAUCCGGGUUGCGGACAGUGUCUGGUGGGUAGUUUGACUGGGGCGGUCUCCUCCUAAAGAGUAACGGAGGAGCACGAAGGUUGGCUAAUCCUGGUCGGACAUCAGGAGGUUAGUGCAAUGGCAUAAGCCAGCUUGACUGCGAGCGUGACGGCGCGAGCAGGUGCGAAAGCAGGUCAUAGUGAUCCGGUGGUUCUGAAUGGAAGGGCCAUCGCUCAACGGAUAAAAGGUACUCCGGGGAUAACAGGCUGAUACCGCCCAAGAGUUCAUAUCGACGGCGGUGUUUGGCACCUCGAUGUCGGCUCAUCACAUCCUGGGGCUGAAGUAGGUCCCAAGGGUAUGGCUGUUCGCCAUUUAAAGUGGUACGCGAGCUGGGUUUAGAACGUCGUGAGACAGUUCGGUCCCUAUCUGCCGUGGGCGCUGGAGAACUGAGGGGGGCUGCUCCUAGUACGAGAGGACCGGAGUGGACGCAUCACUGGUGUUCGGGUUGUCAUGCCAAUGGCACUGCCCGGUAGCUAAAUGCGGAAGAGAUAAGUGCUGAAAGCAUCUAAGCACGAAACUUGCCCCGAGAUGAGUUCUCCCUGACUCCUUGAGAGUCCUGAAGGAACGUUGAAGACGACGACGUUGAUAGGCCGGGUGUGUAAGCGCAGCGAUGCGUUGAGCUAACCGGUACUAAUGAACCGUGAGG